CUCUCGCAUACACACACCCAUGGAGGGAAAGACUUCAGUUGUGAGAUCAGUCAUCCCCUAAGUUUACCCACUAACAUCUCCUGCAGGGGACUCAAGCAAGCAAACAACACAUGAUCAGUUGUGAAAGCAGAGGAUCUCAGCAAAACUUUCUGCAUCCCAAAUAAAGUCAUGUGCAGUGUGAUUUUUGUGUGAAACGCAGGCCUAGAAUUCCCACUGUCGCAAUGUUAUCUCGUGAAUAAGAGCCACCAGAUGCUCUGCAAAUCUAAAUCGCUGUAUAACUGGUCCUUUAAGGUAACUGCUGUAGAUUUCUGACCCUUGCAAGGUCCAGAAAAAUGAACAAAUAGAGACGAAGAAAGCCUAAAAUCCUUUGUAUCUUCAACGUAGAAUUUUAAAACUCCUACAACAUCCAAGUUGUGAAGAAGUCACUCCUUAGAAUUCUUAAGAGCUGGAAGGAUCCAUCAAUUUUUGGUUGAUAUUAUCUGUAGAUACUUUUUACCAGAGGAAGAAAAGAACAGCUAGUGUGAAUAAUAGACUUGUCCUGACGAAAAAAUCUGAUUAUCCUAACUUUUUGACACUAUAAUCUAGAUUUUAUUAAAGACACAGAGACUAAUAA